rnacentral:sRNA from 1 species
GAUUACAGCGCCAAAAGUCUCCCUCCACGUCGUGCUUGCACGUAAGUGGAGGCGAGACUUUAUGGCGCGCCCCCACAUGAGCAAGAAGUGGUGCGAAGCGCCACGGGAUUGCGAAUGUGGGGGAGGAUUGUGGG